rnacentral:misc_RNA from 1 species
GAUGAAGAACGUAGCGAAAUGCGAUAAGUAAUGUGAAUUGCAGAAUUCAGUGAAUCAUCGAAUCUUUGAACGCACAUUGCGCCCGCCAGUAUUCUGGCGGGCAUGUCUGUUCGAGCGUCAUUUCAACCCUCAAGCCCCAGCGGCCUGGUGUUGGGGACCGGCGACCUCGCCCGAGCCCGCCCUCCGGGGCGCGUGCCCGGUGCGUCCGCCGCCCCCGAAAUGAAUUGGCGGCCUCGUCGCGGCCUCCUCUGCGUAGUAGCACAACCUCGCAAGCGGGAGCGCGACGCGGCCACUGCCGUAAAACGCCCAACUUUUUUAGAGUUGACCUCGGAUCAGGUAGGAAUACCCGCUGAACUUAAGCAUAUCAAUAAGCGGAGGA